rnacentral:rRNA from 1 species
AUGGCAAUGGUGUUGGAUGCGUUUGCAUCCUUUGUCGGGGACUACCUCAAGCAGGUGGUAGAAGAUGAAGUCAGUACGAUGCUAGGCGUCUCGGGCGAGAUCGACAAGUUAAGCGACAAGCUUGGGGACCUCAAGAACUUCCUCGCCGACGCCGACAGGAGGAACAUCACUGGCGAGACUGUCAAAGCUUGGGUGGGGCAGCUCAAGCGUGCCAUGUACGAAGCUGCCGAUAUCCUCGACCUCUGCCAACCCAAGGCCAUGGAGCGUGGACCAUCCUCCGCAGAUGCAGAGUGUUGCAAUCCCUUGCUCUUCUGCAUGCGGAAUCCCUUCCAUGCUCAUGAGAUCGGCACUCGCAUCAAAAAGCUCAACCAAAGGCUCGACUCCAUCAAGGAGCGGAGCAUUGCUUUCAACUUCAUCAAUCUCGGGUCCUAUGAGGAUCAUUACAGCAAUGCCCAUGCCUCUCGCCACGGUAAUCCAAGCCGGGAGACAGUAGGGGACUUCGACCGGUCGGCUGUGGUUGGGGACAAGAUUGAUGAAGAUACAAGAGCACUGGUGGCCCAGAUCAUGCAGACAGGAAAAGAGGUGAGCAAUGACAUCAUGGUGGUCGCCAUCGUAGGUGUCGGUGGGGUUGGCAAGACCACCCUCGCCCAGAAGGUCUUCAAUGAUGAGGCAAUCCAAGGUGAGUUCAAAAAAAAAAUAUGGUUGAGCGUCAACCAAAACUUCAGUGAUGUUGGUCUGCUGAGAAGGGCUAUCAUCGAAGCCGGAGGAGAUGCCCAGCCACUUGAAAGUGCAAAGAACAGCCUUCACGAAACCCUCAAGAACACAUUGAUUGGCCACAAGACCUUUCUAGUAAUGGAUGACGUGUGGAACCAUGGAGCAUGGGAUAACGUGCUGAAAAUACCCUUAGGCAAUGCUGCCGCUUCAGGCAGCCGAGUUCUCGUCACUACUAGAGAUGAAGGUGUUGCCCGAGGGGUGAAAGCUAUAUGGCCGUACCAUCAUGUCGACACAUUAGCGCCCAACGAUGCUUGGUUAUUGCUCAAGAAGCAGGGGCAACAAUCAGUGAGAACAUUAAUCUCAACUAUUCAGUUAAAGAUGAAGCCUGGUGAUUCAUUGGUUAAUUUUUCUAGUCUGCGGAUUCUACAUAUAGAAUUUGCUGAUGUGGCUGCAUUGGUUGAAUCGUUGCAUCAACUCAAGCACCUGAGGUAUUUGACACUUGUAAAUACUGAUAUAUCAGUUCUUCCACGGAACAUUGGCAAGAUGAAACUGUUGCAAUUCCUUAACCUUGCUGGAUGCAAAAAUUUGGUGAAUCUUCCUGAUAGCAUCGUGAAGCUUGGCCAACUGAGGUUCCUUGUUCUUCCCAACAUUUGUAUAAUACCUAGAGGGUUCAGAGGUCUGAAAAAUAUGAGGAGACUACUUGGGUUUCGAGCCCACAUAGAUUGUGAUUGGUGUAGUUUGGAUGAGUUGGGGCCUCUUUCUGAACUCAGAUUUCUUGAAUUAGUGCAAUUGGAGAAUGUAUCUUCUGCUUCGUUUGCUGCUAAUGCUAGACUCGGUGAGAAAAUGCAUCUUACCAACCUAGUCUUGAACUGCACCAGCAAAUUGGGAUAUGAUGGGAUGUUCAAAGAGAAAGAAGGUGUCUCAGAGGAAGAACAACGAGUCAAGAAUGUGUUUUAUGAGCUCUGCCCUCCGUCUAGUGUAGAAAAUCUUGUUAUCCAUGGGUAUUUGGGCCAUCAACUUCCAAGUUGGAUGAUGUCCAUGUUAACGGUGGUGCCCCUCAACAACUUGAAGAUUCUAUCAUUUAUUGAUCUGGCAUGUUGCAAACAACUUCCUAAUGCCUUGUGUCAGCUCCCCUACCUCCAGGUUCUUCAGGUCAACCGCGCUCCAUGCAUCAACUACCUGGAGAAUUUUCCUUCUGUUGUUGAGCUUGAAGUGUUUGGAAGCCCCAAUCUAGAGAGGAUCAAUAAUUUCACCAAACUGCAGAAGCUUACCAUCAGGAAUUGCCCAAAGUUGAAGGUGCUGGAGUGUAUCCCUACACUAGAGAGGUUGGUCCUGGAGGAUUACGUCAUGGAAAAUCUCCCAGAAUACAUGCGAGAUAUAAAGCCAAGGCAUUUGCGGAUACUCUGCAGGAUAUGGUUUCUAUCUUCAUUAGCCGAGGGACAAUCUGGUCCUGAGUGGGACAAGUUCAGCCAUGUGGAGCAUGUCGAGGCAUAUGCACGUGAAGAAAUCAAAAAAUGGUACGUUCUAUACACGAGAAGAGACAACUACAAGCUGGAUUCCAAUAUUAGCAGCUCUGCCAUACUUGAAGGUCUUUCUUUUAGUGAGGUUGGUAGUAGCCGUACAAGCAACAACAAGGUUGUUUGCUGUCACUUCUCUACAGAUGGGAAGUUGCUUGCUAGCGCCGGUCAUGAAAAAAAGGUCUUCCUCUGGAAUAUGGACAAUUUUAACAUGGAUACUAAACCAGAAGAACAUACAAAUUUUAUAACGGACAUAAGAUUCAGACCGAAUUCAACUCAGUUCGCUACAUCAUCUUCUGAUGGAACUGUUCGACUAUGGAACGCGGUUGAAGUUAAGCAGGGUGGUACCGGUAGAGUGAGGUUUCAGCCUCGGAUUGGAAAGCUCCUUGCCGUGGCAGCCGGAAACACGGUGAACAUCAUCGAUGUCGACACGGACACGAGUUUACAUUCACAGCCAAAGGUUCACUCUAGCGAGGUAAAGUGCAUCUGUUGGGACAGAAGUGGUGAGUAUCUGGCGUCGGCGAGCCAGGACAGUGUGAAGGUGUGGUCAGCCACGUCAGGCGCGUACAUCCAUGAGCUGAGGUCGCACGGGAACCAGUACCUGUCGUGCAUGUUCCAUCCGACGUACCCGAAAUUUUUGAUUGUUGGUGGUUACCAGACGCUGGAGCUGUGGAGCAUAUCGGAUCAGCAGAGGAAAGUGAUCCCGGCGCACGAGGGGCUCAUAGCCGCGCUGGCGGACUCCCGGUCGACGGGGUUGAUCGCCUCAAAUGAUCAAGGUGUACUGCAUGUGCGCCAGUUAGAAGAUGAGGACGGCGUCAGGGUGAGGGAUAUACCACCGAAGCACUUGUUAGCCUGCAGAUUGUUGGAACCUGAAGCUGGAGCUCCGGCAGCCAAGGCGUACCGGUGGCAUUACUUCCCAAAUCCCAAUCCCUCCAGGCUCCAGGUCUUCCCCAGCACAGCCAUCGCCCCCGCCGCCGCCGCCGUCCGCUGGUAUUUGUCGCUGCCGACUGCUGUGCCGUGCAGUGCAUCCCAUCAUUCUCAAAGGUUGGUGGUACAGGAUGAGCUCGGAACGAUGCUGGGCGUCUCUGGUGAGAUCGACAAGUUGGGCGACAAGCUUCUGCACCUUAAGAACUUCCUCGCCGACGCCGACCGGAGGAACAUCACCGACGAGGCUGUCAAAGUCUGGGUGGGGCAGCUCAAGCGCGCCAUGUAUGAAGCUGCUGACAUCCUCGACCUCUGCCAGCUCAAGGCCAUGGAGCGUGGGUCAUCCUCCUCAGAUGCAGGGUGUUGCAAUCCCUUUCUUUUCUGCAUGAGGAAUCCCUUCCAUGCUCGUGAGAUCGGCACUCGCAUCAAGGCACUUAACCAGAGGCUUGAUUCCAUCAAGCAGCGGAGUGCUGCUUUUAACUUCAUCAAUCUUGGGUCCUACGAGGAACAUAGCAGCUCUCGUCAUGGUAAUCCCAGCCGUGAGAUGUCAGGGGAGCUCGACAGGUCAGGUGUGGUUGGGGAUAAGAUCGAAGAAGACACAAGAGCACUGGUGGCCCAGAUCACAUGCUCUGGAAAUGAGGUCAGCAACAACAUUAUGGUGGUCGCUAUCGUAGGUGUUGAUGGGAUUGGCAAGACCACCCUCGCCCAGAAGGUCUUUAAUGACGAGGCCAUCCAAGGUGACUUCAGCAAAAAGAUAUGGUUGAGUGUCAACCAGAACAUUAGUGAGGUUGAGCUGCUGAGAAGAGCCAUCAUUGAAGUCAGAGGAGACGCUCGGCCAGUUGGAAAUGCAAAGGCCACGCUUCAACGAACCCUCAAGGAAGCCUUGAUUGGCCACAAGACCUUCUUGAUAUUGGAUGAUGUUUGGAACUAUAGAGCAUGGGAGGAUGUGCUCAAAACACUGUUAGUCAAUGCUGCUGCUCCAGGCAGCCACGACCUCAUCACCACUAGAGAUGAAGUAUACUUAAGCUAUGAAUAUAUGCCUUCUUACCUGAAGCAGUGCUUUCUCUACCACUCUCUUCUUCCUAAAAGUAGAGAAUUUACUAUGGAUCAAGUUGUUGCAAUGUGGAUGAGCGAAGGACUUAUUCAUGGAAACUCUAGUGAUUUGGAAGAAUUGGGAAUAAAUUACUACAAGGAGUUGGUAUCUAGGAACCUGAUAGAGCCAGAUAAAUCAUUUGCUAAUUUAUGGGUUUGCAACAUGCAUGAUGUUGUUCGCUCAUUUGCUCAGUAUAUGACUAAAGAUGAAGCACUCAUAGCUCAAGACGGAGAUAAUGAUAUUCUUGCUAAACUUGGUUCACAAAAGUUUCUUCGAUUGUCCAUAGAAACUAACCGAUCACAAUCAGGUGAACUUGAUUGGAAAUCUCUGCAGACGCAGCAAUUAGUGAGAGCAUUGAUCUCAACUAUCCAAAUUAAGACAAAGCCUGGUGAUUCAUUUGUUACUUUUUCUAGUUUGCGGACUUUGCAUAUAGAAUCUGCAGAUAUGGCUUCAUUGGUUGAAUCGUUGCAUCAGCUUAAGCACCUCAGAUAUCUAACACUAGUAAAUGUUGAUAUAUCUGUACUUCCAGAAAACAUUGGCAAGAUGAAACUAUUACAAUUCCUUGACCUUGGUGGAUGUACAAAAUUGGUGAAUCGUCCUGACAGCAUUGUGAAGCUUGGCCAGCUGAGGUUACUUUCACUUCCCCAAGCAAGUAUGAUACCUAGAGGGUUUCGUGGCCUGACAAAUAUGAGGAGACUAAAUAUGUUUCGAGCCCACAUGGAUGGUGAUUGGUGCAGUUUGUACGAGUUGGGGCCUCUUUCCCAACUUAGAGGUCUUGGAUUAAUUGAAUUGGAGAAUGUAUCUGCUGCCUCGUUUGCUGCUAAUGCUAGGCUCGACAAGAAGACACAUCUUAUCAUUCUACUCCUGCACUGCACCAGUAGACUCGGAGAUUUCUUAGAGGAAGAGCAACAGCGAAUUGAGAAGGUUCUCGAUAUGCUUUGCCCUCCAUUUGGUGUGGAAGAACUUGAAAUCAAUGGACUGAGGCAUGUUCCUCCAGGCCUUGCCUCCAAUGCAAGCUCUUUGAAAAUAUUAGUUCUAGAGCAUGUCAAGCAGCUCAGCUACAUUGAGAGCUUUCCUUCUGUUGUUGAGCUUGAAGUGAAUGGAUGCCCUGACCUGGAGAGGAUCACCAAUCUCCCCAAUCUGCAGAAGCUUACCAUUGAUAACUGCCCAAAGUUGAAGGUGCUGGAGCAUAUCGCUUCACUCGAGAGGCUGGUCCUGAAGGAUUACACUAUGGAAAAACUCCCAGAAUACAUGCGAGACAUAAAGGCAUGGCAUUUGCAGUUACUCUGCAGGCUAUGGUUGCUCUCUGCGGUAGCCGCGGGACAAUCUGGCACGGAGUGGGACAAGUUCAGCCAUAUGGAGCAUGUCAAGGCAUAUGCCUGUGAUGGAGACAACCAAAGAAAAUGA